GGCUCAGGACGAACGCUGGCGGCGUGCCUAACACAUGCAAGUCGAACGGGGAGUUUGUUUGGCAGAAUCCUAGUGGCGAACGGGUGAGUAACGCGUAGGCAACCUGCCCUCCGGCCGGGGGACAACACUCCGAAAGGGGUGCUAAUACCGGAUACGAAGUCUGUGCCGCAUGGUACGGAUUUGAAAGAUGGCCUCUAUUUAUAAGCUAUCGCCGGGGGAUGGGCCUGCGUCCGAUUAGCUGGUUGGUGGGGUAACGGCCUACCAAGGCGACGAUCGGUAGCCGGUCUGAGAGGAUGAACGGCCACAUUGGGACUGAGACACGGCCCAGACUCCUACGGGAGGCAGCAGUGGGGAAUCUUCCGCAAUGGGCGCAAGCCUGACGGAGCAACGCCGCGUGAGUGAGGAAGUUCUUCGGAACGUAAAGCUCUGUUGUUCCUGACGAACCUCCCUUCUAUCAACAACGGAGGGGACUGACGGUAGGGAACGAGGAAGCCACGGCUAACUACGUGCCAGCCGCGGC
rnacentral:rRNA from 1 species